rnacentral:tRNA from 1 species
GGGCCCGUCGCCUAACCUGGACAGCAUCGCCUAGAAAUGGCGGCAGCCUCCUAAGCUGUAAUGAUCUGGGUUCAAAUCCCAGCGGGCCCG